rnacentral:rRNA from 1 species
CUUGUUGGUGGGGUGAUGGCCUACCAAGGCGGUGACGGGUAGCCGGCCUGAGAGGGCGACCGGCCACACUGGGACUGAGACACGGCCCAGACUCCUACGGGAGGCAGCAKUGGGGAAUAUUGCGCAAUGGGCGGAAGCCUGACGCAGCGACGCCGCGUGGGGGAUGACGGCCUUCGGGUUGUAAACCUCUUUCGCCAGGGACGAAGAGUGAUUGACGGUACCUGGAGAAGAAGCACCGGCCAACUACGUGCCAGCAGCCGCGGUAACACGUAGGGUGCGAGCGUUGUCCGGAAUUAUUGGGCGUAAAGAGCUCGUAGGCGGUGUGUCGCGUCGGCCGUGAAAACUUGGGGCUUAACUCUGAGCGUGCGGUCGAUACGGGCAUCACUUGAGUUCGGCAGGGGAGACUGGAAUUCCUGGUGUAGCGGUGAAAUGCGCAGAUAUCAGGAGGAACACCGGUGGCGAAGGCGGGUCUCUGGGCCGAUACUGACGCUGAGGAGCGAAAGCGUGGGGAGCGAACAGGAUUAGAUACCCUGGUAGUCCACGCCGUAAACGUUGGGCGCUAGGUGUGGGGACCAUUCCACG